UCAGGAGAUUCUGUUGCAUGGAAGGAGGGUGGAGCAGCAAAGGGUGUUGGAAGCCCAUGGACACUUUGAACUCUACUCCAACUGUCUCAUCUUCACUGUGACCUGGACACAGAGCCUCUGAGCCAAGGCCACUCAGCAAUUUCAGAAGCAUCCCAUUUGCUUGGAACAGCCUCAAAGUGGCCUGAAACCCACCUCCACUUUUGAAGUUGAGUAGUGCCAUCCCAAAAUGUUCCCACAUGGCAGAAGAUGUGGUAAGAGGCAUCAAAUUUGCUGUGAGAAGCUGUUGACUGGCCCUGAUGCUGCCUCAACUCCUGGAGUGUGGUUGUGCCAGGACAGAAUCCUUCCUCGUGGCUGGAGAUGUGUUCUGGAUGAAUGUGACAGGGAUCAACCUUGAGAACUUGCGCUUGUGAGACAGGCGCUAGAACCACUGAGCUAAAUCACCGGUCCCAUUAAUUAUCAUAUUGCCAAAUAUAAAAUUGUAAAAGUGAAUAAGAAAAUAAAAUUAAUGUUCCAUGGAAAUAGCUGAAUGACAUAAACUGUUGAUUUAUAAGACAAAUGAGAAUGCACAUUACCUCAAAAUUAGAAGGAAAAUUUAGAAAUGAUUUUAUUCUGCAAUGCAAAUUUUAAAAUAUUUGUUCAAAAAUAUUAGUGUGAUUUUUUUUGUGCUGUUAUCAAUGAGUACAUGUUACUUUUCAAAACACAACAUUAAAUAUACAGUAGUUUGAAAGUAAAAGAAUGCGUUUUAUCUAUAAAUUACAACUCAGGUCCCAAAAUGAGCUUCUCAAAUCACUAACGUUUUUAUGAAGGCAUUUCUAGUUUGAUACUGCCUAUAUCUUGCACCACAAAGGCCUCAGGGUGAUGUCACCAUUGCAUGGCAACUCUUUGACAGUCAGUGUCUUCAGGAAAACCCUCUGUGUCUUUCUCUGCCCCCAUCUGAACAAUAGUCCUAUCUUCUUGCCCUAUCUAAAAUCCUGCUCUAUCACAAAGUAUACUGCUUUUUUAGCCUUCUAGGUCAAGUGCUGUUUUCCUUCCCACAUUCCCUCCUCCUACUAGACCUAGAAGUGCAAUAGCUGUUGGAGUUUUUUCCUCAGUGGCCACUUCUGGGUCCUUUUCCUGCCCAACUUUCAUAAAAUAACUCACCUUUUAAUCUUCUGUCAUUAGAUUAUAUCACCUAUUAAUUUUCCUUGUUUUAUCAUAUAACUAAUUCUCUGGUAACUUUAAUCUGCUAUUAUUUUCCAUUUGUCCCACUCGCUUUUCAUUCAACAGGACACUUGUCUUAAUUCCUGAUGACUUUACAAUAUGGGUGAUCAUUUUUAUAUCGAACAUUUAAAAUCUGUGAUCUCCUUUUCAGUUUUACUCCAACUUUAGUAGAUAAUUUAAAUAUACACCUCUCCAAAACCUCAAUUUCAAAAUGUUCACUAUUUAAGCCACUAUUCAGGUAUGUUUUGCAGCACUACUCCAACAUAUUUUCCACUCUCCUAAACCUCUAAGACAAAUAGUGAAUUCAACUACUUUUCAUUGUCAUAGGAAUCCCUUAUCCAUGGCAUUGCUGCAGUUUUAUUUUAUAUUGGAUUCUGAAAGAUUCAUGAUGUAUCAGCAAAAUUAUUCUCAUAUUAUUUCUCAUUUCCUGUUGUACAAUGUUCAUUUUGACAUCUAUGCUGAUUUUAAAA
rnacentral:lncRNA from 1 species